AUGAACGCUGGCGGCUUGCCUCAUACAUGCAAGUCGAGCGAACAGACGAGGAGCUUGCUCCUCUGACGUUAGCGGCGGACGGGUGAGUAACACGUGGAUAACCUACCUAUAAGACUGGGAUAACUUCGGGAAACCGGAGCUAAUACCGGAUAAUAUAUUGAACCGCAUGGUUCAAUAGUGAAAGACGGUUUUGCUGUCACUUAUAGAUGGAUCCGCGCCGCAUUAGCUAGUUGGUAAGGUAACGGCUUACCAAGGCGACGAUGCGUAGCCGACCUGAGAGGGUGAUCGGCCACACUGGAACUGAGACACGGUCCAGACUCCUACGGGAGGCAGCAGUAGGGAAUCUUCCGCAAUGGGCGAAAGCCUGACGGAGCAACGCCGCGUGAGUGAUGAAGGUCUUCGGAUCGUAAAACUCUGUUAUUAGGGAAGAACAAAUGUGUAAGUAACUAUGCACGUCUUGACGGUACCUAAUCAGAAAGCCACGGCUAACUACGUG
rnacentral:rRNA from 1 species